AACGUAGGUGGCGAGCGUUAUCCGGAUUUACUGGGCGUAAAGCGUGCGCAGGCGGCUUUGCAAGACAGAUGUGAAAUCCCCGGGCUUAACCUGGGAACUGCAUUUGUGACUGCAUGGCUGGAGUGCGGCAGAGGGGGAUGGAAUUCCGCGUGUAGCAGUGAAAUGCGUAGAUAUGCGGAGGAACACCGAUGGCGAAGGCAAUCCCCUGGGCCUGCACUGACGCUCAUGCACGAAAGCGUGGGGAGCAAACAGG
rnacentral:rRNA from 1 species